rnacentral:rRNA from 1 species
AGGCAACUAACUAUAGAGCCACGGCCCUUGGUGAUCUCACCGUUGCUUCCGGAGUAGAUUCUAUUGGCCUGGGGACUGUUGCGAAGGCGACUGGUAAUCGUUCCAUAUCGGCAGGACUUUUAUCACAGGCAUCUGGAGUGAACGCCAUUGCCAUCGGGGAUAAAACCGUAUCGAGCAAUAAUGACACGGUGGCCAUUGGUGAAAAGGCAAGUGCAACGAAUAGUCAAUCGAUUGCCAUCGGCAGUGCUGCAUCCUCUUCCGGUUCCUAUAGCGUGGCCAUAGGAUUGAAUGCAAAAGCGACGGAUGACUGGUCUGUUGCUUUGGGGAAUAGUUCUGAAACCUCAAAAGCUAUUUCAACCAGCACCAUGGCAGUCGGAGGAAAGACCUAUCAGCUGGCCGGUGGAUCCGCAUGGGGUACGGUAAGUGUAGGAAAUGACAACAUCAAGCGCACGGUUACGAAUGUUGCAGCCGGUCGUGUGAGCAUGAUUUCCACAGAUGCCAUCAAUGGCAGUCAGUUAUUUGCAAUAAAUCAGAGUGUUGAUGCGAAUACUGAAAACAUUGCAAAGGGAAUGACUUUUGCUGCAGAUACCGGAACUGCUUAUAACGCGCAAUUAGGUAAUACCGUUUCCAUUAAAGGCGAUGGGAAAAACCUGUCCACUUCGGUAGAUAAUGGGACCAUUACCGUACACAUGUCGGAUACUCCUGUGUUUACGUCAGUAACGGCAGGUACUAUUACCGGCAAUACAAUCAAAGCGGGUGAUACGGUUAUACUCAGUCAGCAGGGCGCUGAUAUGGGGGGAACAAAAAUCACUCAUUUGAAGGAUGGCGAUGUUUCUCCUACUUCAACUGAUGCCGUUAAUGGCGGUCAGCUCUAUGAAACGAACCAGGCGAUUGCCAACAACGCAACCAACAUUUCGUCACUGAGUCAUUCUAUCAGCAAUCUCGACAACCGUGUCAACAAAGUCGGUGCCGGUGCUGCGGCUUUGGCAGCAUUACAUCCAUUGGAUUUUGAUCCGGAUGCGAAGUGGGACUUUGCGGCAGGCUAUGGCAACUACCGCGGCACCAAUGCAGCUGCUGUUGGGGCAUACUAUCGUCCGAAUGAAGACACGAUGUUCUCUGUAGGUGGUACCUUUGGUAAUGGCGAAAACAUGGUUAAUGCCGGCGUAAGCUUUAAACUAGGUUCCGGAAGCAGUCAUGUAUCGACUUCUCGUGUAGCGAUGGCGAAGGAAAUUAAAGAACUGCGCGGUGAAUUGGAAGCUAUGAAGUCAGCCAUGCUCGAUGCCAAUGCAGGUAAGAAGAUAGAUACAUCCAAACUGCAGCUCUUCCCGGAUGUACCGCAGAAUCACUGGGCUUACGAAUACGUAGCACAGCUGGCCGGUAACGGCAUGAUCGAAGGCUAUCCGGAUGGCAACUUUGCCGGAGACCGCCCGAUGACGCGGUAUGAAUUUGCAGCUAUCUUGUAUCGUGCCAUGACGAAAGGCGCUGUCUUGUCCGACAAGCUCCUCAGUGAAUUCUCGCAUGAAUUAGAAUACUUCACUGUCGAUACGAUAGCAAAAGACAACGCAGGCAAUCCGACGAUUCAGCGUGUUCGCACAGUCAAAGAAAACAAAAAUAAAUAAGCGCAACGAACCAUUGAAUAACGGAUAGGAAAAAGAACGAUGCAAAGAGAACAUGUUUCUCGAUGCAUCGUUCUUUUUUUGUUGGUUGCUUGUUGCCUGAUUCUAAUCUUUGAUACAUAUGAUAUAAUACCAAGAGAAAUGCGAAUUAACAUGGAAGUGUAAGUGAUGAGGUGUUCUAUAGAUUUACUUGUUUUUUUUACCUAAUCCGCCAGAAGUCCGGUGCUGGAAGGUUAAGAGGAAGUGUUAGCCGCAAGGCGAAGCAGCGAAUUGAAGCCCCAGUAAACGGUGGCCGUAACUAUAACGGUCCUAAGGUAGCGAAAUUCCUUGUCGGGUAAGUUCCGACCCGCACGAAAGGUGUAACGAUUUGGGCACUGUCUCAACGAGGGACCCGGUGAAAUUGAAAUACCUGUGAAGAUGCAGGUUACCCGCGACUGGACAGAAAGACCCCAUGGAGCUUUACUGUAACCUGAGAUUGGAUUCCGGUAAGAGAUGUACAGGAUAGUUGGGAGGCAGAGAAGUGAGUACGCCAGUAUUCACGGAGCCGCUGGUGGGAUACCAACCUUGUUUUAUUGGAAUUCUAACGAGAAGCGUAACGAGCUUGCGGACAGUCUCAGGCGGGCAGUUUGACUGGGGCGGUCGCCUCCGAAAGAGUAACGGAGGCGCCCAAAGGUUCCCUCAGCGCGGACGGAAACCGCGCGAAGAGUGCAAAGGCAGAAGGGAGCUUGACUGCGAGACGGACAGGUCGAGCAGGGACGAAAGUCGGGCUUAGUGAUCCGGUGGUAGAGAGUGGAAUUGCCAUCGCUCAACGGAUAAAAGCUACCCUGGGGAUAACAGGCUUAUCUCUCCCAAGAGUCCAUAUCGACGGGGAGGUUUGGCACCUCGAUGUCGGCUCAUCACAUCCUGGGGCUGAAGUAGGUCCCAAGGGUUGGGCUGUUCGCCCAUUAAAGUGGUACGCGAGCUGGGUUCAGAACGUCGUGAGACAGUUCGGUCCCUAUCCAUCGCGGGCGUAAGAAACUUGAAAGGGGCUGCUCCUAGUACGAGAGGACCGGAGUGGACCGACCAAUGGUGUACCAGUCAUGGCGCCAGCCGUGCAGCUGGGUAGCUACGUCGGGGACGGAUAAACGCUGAAAGCAUCUAAGCGUGAAACCAGCCUAGAGAUGAGGUUUCUCAUUACAUUAGUAAGUAAGGUCCCACAAAGACGAUGUGGUUGAUAGGCCGGGAGUGGAAGUACAGCGAUGUACGGAGCGGACCGGUACUAAUAGACCGAGGACUUGACUAC